rnacentral:rRNA from 1 species
GAUGAACGCUAGCGAUAGGCUUAACACAUGCAAGUCGAGGGGCAGCGAGGGUAGCAAUACCUGUCGGCGACCGGCGCACGGGUGAGUAACGCGUAUGUAACCUGCCCGCAACAGGGGGAUAACCCGGCGAAAGUCGGACUAAUACCGCAUAAAACAGGGGUCCCGCAUGGGAAUAUUUGUUAAAGAUUUAUCGGUUGCGGAUGGGCAUGCGUACCAUUAGGUAGUUGGUGAGGUAACGGCUCACCAAGCCUUCGAUGGUUAGGGGUUCUGAGAGGAAGGUCCCCCACACUGGUACUGAGACACGGACCAGACUGCUACGGGAGGCAGCAGUGAGGAAUAUUGGUCAAGGGGCGAGAGCCUGAACCAGCCAAGUCGCGUGAAGGAUGACUGCCCUAUGGGUUGUAAGCUUCUUUUACAAGGGAAUAAAAUGAGAUACGAGUAUUUUAUUGAAUGUACCUUGGGAAUAAGCAUCGGCUAACUCCGUG